rnacentral:snRNA from 1 species
GUGCUCGCUUUGGCAGCACAUACACUAAAACUGGAAUGAUACAGAGAUUAGCAUGGCCCCUGCGCAAGGAUGGCAUGAAAAAAAUUAUUAAAAGAAAAAGGAAAU